AGUGAACGCUGGCGGUAGGCCUAACACAUGCAAGUCGAACGGCAGCACAGUAAGAGCUUGCUCUUACGGGUGGCGAGUGGCGGACGGGUGAGGAAUACAUCGGAAUCUACUUUUUCGUGGGGGAUAACGUAGGGAAACUUACGCUAAUACCGCAUACGACCUACGGGUGAAAGCAGGGGAUCUUCGGACCUUGCGCGAUUGAAUGAGCCGAUGUCGGAUUAGCUAGGUGGCGGGGUAAAGGCCCACCAAGGCGACGAUCCGUAGCUGGUCUGAGAGGAUGAUCAGCCACACUGGAACUGAGACACGGUCCAGACUCCUACGGGAGGCAGCAGUGGGGAAUAUUGGACAAUGGGCGCAAGCCUGAUCCAGCCAUACCGCGUGGGUGAAGAAGGCCUUCGGGUUGUAAAGCCCUUUUGUUGGGAAAGAAAAGCAGCAGGUUAAUCCCCCGCUGUCCUGGCGGUACCCAAAGAAUAAGCACCGGCUAACUUCGUG
rnacentral:rRNA from 1 species